AUUGAACGCUGGCGGCAGGCCUAACACAUGCAAGUCGAGCUGAGCGGCGGACGGGUGAGUCAUGCCUAGGAAUCUGCCUGGUAGUGGGGGAUCACGUCCGGAAACGGGCGCUAAUACCGCAUACUCUCUGCUGAGCCUAGGUCGGAUUGGCUAGUUGGUGGGGUAAAGGCCUACCAAGGCGACGAUCCGUAACUGGUCUGAGAGGAUGAUCAGCCACACUGGAAGUGAGACACGGUCCAGACUCCUACGGGAGGCAGCAGUGGGGAAUAUUGGACAAUGGGCGAAAGCCUGAUCCAGCCAUGCCGCGUGUGUGAAGAAGGUCUUCGGGUUGUAAAGCACUGUAAGUUGGGAUGCGUUACCAACAGAAGAAGCACCGGCUAACUUCGUGCCAGCAGCCGCGGUAAUAC
rnacentral:rRNA from 1 species